rnacentral:misc_RNA from 1 species
CGAAAUGCGAUAAGUAAUGUGAAUUGCAGAAUUCCGUGAAUCAUCGAAUCUUUGAACGCACAUUGCGCCCUCUGGCAUUCCGGGGGACAUGCCUGUCCGAGCGUCAUUACGCACCCUCAAGCCCGGCUUGUGUGAUGGGCCCCGGCGUCUCGUUCGCGAGACGGGCCCGAAAGGCAGCGGCGGCGUCGACCCGAUGAGCCCGAGCGUAUGGGGACUUCUGUCACACGUUCGCGGUGCGGACCGGCGCCUGCUUGACUUUUCUGAUUAUCCAGGUUGACCUCGGAUCAGGUAGGGAUACCCGCUGAACUUAAGC